UGGGGAAUAUUGGACAAUGGGGGGAACCCUGAUCCAGCCAUGCCGCGUGUGUGAAGAAGGCCUUAUGGUUGUAAAGCACUUUAAGCGAGGAGGAGGGUACUGGUAUUAAUACUACCAGGUACUGGACGUUACUCGCAGAAUAAGCACCGGCUAACUCUGUGCCAGCAGCCGCGGUAAUACAGAGGGUGCGAGCGUUAAUCGGAUUUACUGGGAGUAAAGCGUGCGUAGGCGGCUAAUUGAGUCGGAUGUGAAAUCCCCGAGCUUAACUUGGGAAUUGCAUUCGAUACUGGUUAGCUAGAGUGUGGGAGAGGAUGGUAGAAUUCCAGGUGUAGCGGUGAAAUGCGUAGAGAUCUGGAGGAAUACCGAUGGCGAAGGCAGCCAUCUGGCCUAACACUGACGCUGAGGUACGAAAGCAUGGGGAGCAAACAGG
rnacentral:rRNA from 1 species